UCAGGCCUAACACAUGCAAGUCGAGCGAGAAAACUCCUUCGGGAGUGAGUAGAGCGGCGGACGGGUGAGUAACGCGUAGGAAUCUACCCAGUGGUGGGGGACAACAUGUGGAAACGCAUGCUAAUACCGCAUACGCCCUACGGGGGAAAGCGGGGGACCUUCGGGCCUCGCGCCAUUGGAUGAGCCUGCGUAAGAUUAGCUAGUUGGUGGGGUAAAAGCCUACCAAGGCGACGAUCUUUAGCUGGUCUGAGAGGAUGAUCAGCCACACUGGGACUGAGACACGGCCCAGACUCCUACGGGAGGCAGCAGUGGGGAAUAUUGGACAAUGGGGGCAACCCUGAUCCAGCCAUGCCGCGUGUGUGAAGAAGGCCUUAGGGUUGUAAAGCACUUUCAAUUGGGAAGAAAAGCUGAUGCUUAAUACGUAUCAGCCCUGACAUUACCUUUAGAAGAAGCACCGGCUAACUCCGUGCCAGCAGCCGCGGUAAUACGGAGGGUGCGAGCGUUAAUCGGAAUUACUGGGCGUAAAGCGCGCGUAGGCGGUUAUUUAAGUCAGCUGUGAAAGCCCCGGGCUCAACCUGGGAACUGCAGUUGAUACUGGAUGACUAGAGUACGAGAGAGGGAGGUAGAAUUCCACGUGUAGCGGUGAAAUGCGUAGAUAUGUGGAGGAAUACCAGUGGCGAAGGCGGCCUCCUGGCUCGAU
rnacentral:rRNA from 1 species